rnacentral:rRNA from 1 species
GGGUGAGUAACACNUGGGCAACCUGCCCUGCAGAUCGGGAUAACUCCGGGAAACCGGUGCUAAUACCGAAUAGUUUGUCGCCUCUCCUGAGGCGGCACGGAAAGACGGUUUCGGCUGUCACUGCAGAAUGAGCCUGCGGCCCAUCAGCUAGUUGGUAGGGUAAAGGCCUACCAAGGCGACGAUCAGUAGCUGGUCUGAGAGGAUGAUCAGCCACAAUGGGACUGAGACACGGCCCAUACUCCUACGGGAGGCAGCAGUAGGGAAUUUUGCGCAAUGGGCGAAAGCCUGACGCAGCAACACCGCGUGAGCGAUGAAGCCCCUUGGGGUGUAAAGCUCUGUCAGUGGGGACGAAUAUAUGACGGUACCCACAGAGGAAGCAUCGGCUAACUACGUGCCAGCAGCCGCGAUAAGACGUAGGAUGCGAGCGUUGUCCGGAAUCAUUGGGCGUAAAGAGUUCGUAGGUGGCAUGUCAAGUCUGGUGUUAAAGCCCGAGGCUCAACCUCGGUUCGGCACUGGAUACUGGCAAGCUAGAGUGCAGUAGAGGCAAGGGGAAUUCCCAGUGUAGCGGUGAAAUGCGUAGAUAUUGGGAAGAACACCGGUGGCGUAAGCGCCUUGCUGGGCUAUAACUGACGCUGAGGAACGAAAGCCAGGGGAGCAAAUGGGAUUAGAUACCCCAGUAGUCCUGGCCGUAAACGGUGGAUACUAGGUGUUGCGGGUAUCGACCCCUGCAGUGCCGCAGUUAACGCGAUAAGUAUCCCGCCUGGGGAGUACGCACGCAAGUGUGAAACUCAAAGGAAUUGACGGGGGCCCGCACAAGCGGUGGAACAUGUGGUUUAAUUCGAAGCAACGCGAAGAACCUUACCAGGGCUUGACAUCCAAGGAAUCCCGGCGAAAGUUGGGAGUGCCCUUCGGGGAACCUUGAGACAGGUGGUGCAUGGUUGUCGUCAGCUCGUGUCGUGAGAUGUUGGGUUAAGUCCCGCAACGAGCGCAACCCUCGUCGUUAGUUGCUGGCAAGAGUACACUCUUGUCGAGCUCUCUAGCGAGACUGCCGGUGAUAAACCGGAGGAAGGUGGGGAUGACGUCAAAUCAUCAUGCCCCUUAUGUUCUGGGCUACACACGUGUUACAAUGGGUAGGACAACGAGCAGCCAGCCGGCAACGGUGAGCAAAUCUCUUAAACCUAUCCUCAGUUCGGAUCGGAGUCUGCAACUCGACUCCGUGAAGUCGGAAUCGCUAGUAACCGCAGAUCAGCACGCUGCGGUGAAU